rnacentral:rRNA from 1 species
AUUAAACGCUGGCGGCAUGCCUUACACAUGCAAGUCGAACGGUAACAGGUCUUCGGAUGCUGACGAGUGGCGAACGGGUGAGUAAUACAUCGGAACGUGCCUAGUAGUGGGGGAUAACUACUCGAAAGAGUGGCUAAUACCGCAUGAGAUCUACGGAUGGAAGCAGGGGAUCGCAAGACCUUGUGCUACUAGAGCGGCCGAUGGCAGAUUAGGUAGUUGGUGGGAUAAAAGCUUACCAAGCCGACGAUCUGUAGCUGGUCUGAGAGGACGAUCAGCCACACUGGGACUGAGACACGGCCCAGACUCCUACGGGAGGCAGCAGUGGGGAAUUUUGGACAAUGGGCGCAAGCCUGAUCCAGCAAUGCCGCGUGCAGGAUGAAGGCCUUCGGGUUGUAAACUGCUUUUGUACGGAACGAAAAGCCCUGGGUUAAUACCCUGGGGUCAUGACGGUACCGUAAGAAUAAGCACCGGCUAACUACGUGCCAGCCGCCGCCGUAA